rnacentral:rRNA from 1 species
UUCGAAGCAACGCGAAGAACCUUACCAGGUCUUGACAUCCUUUGACACUCUAGAGAUAGAGCUUUCCCCUUCGGGGGACAAAGUGACAGGUGGUGCAUGGUUGUCGUCAGCUCGUGUCGUGAGAUGUUGGGUUAAGUCCCGCAACGAGCGCAACCCUUGACCUUAGUUGCCAGCAUUCAGUUGGGCACUCUAAGGUGACUGCCGGUGACAAACCGGAGGAAGGUGGGGAUGACGUCAAAUCAUCAUGCCCCUUAUGACCUGGGCUACACACGUGCUACAAUGGAUGAUACAAAGGGUUGCGAAGCCGCGAGGCCAAGCCAAUCCCAAAAAGUCAUUCUCAGUUCGGAUUGUAGGCUGCAACUCGCCUACAUGAAGCCGGAAUUGCUAGUAAUCGCGGAUCAGCAUGCCGCGGUGAAUACGUUCCCGGGCCUUGUACACACCGCCCGUCACACCACGAGAGUUUGUAACACCCGAAGUCGGUGGGGUAACCCUUUUGGGAGCCAGCCGCCGAAGGUGGGACAGAUGAUUGGGGUGAAGUCGUAACAAGGUAACCGUAAAUCA